UAGCCGCAGUUUGUAAUUCUGUUCUAGUCUCUUACGUUUUAACAAUUAUCCUUUUGUCACCUGACUAUCAGGGAAGCGUGAUUGAGGCUGGCCCUGACCUUUUGUCUUGACGCCAACAUCCAGGUGGGGGCUGUACCCGAAGCUGCUGUUGGAGUAUAUGACUAGUUGUAUCUGGCUUGUUUGAGCAGAUAAGCAAACGACUGUUGCCGUACAAUAGACCAGUUAUGUGGAACUUGGCAGGUAAGUUUCACGUCAUUUAAUUCCCGUUUGAGUACACAUCACCUGUUAAUGAUGACUUGGAUCGUUGGGACCUUUACACCACAGCAAUGCAUGCCCAUUUUCCAGCCUCGGUGAGCCGUUAUUACAGGUCUCCUCGCCCAACAUGACUGCAAAGCGCACCUGCCACUGGAACAAUGUAGAGAUUCUAAAUCAUAGAAAAUGUGACGCGUUGUCUGAUUCAGUGCGAGCUGCCUCUCAGAGGGCUGCAAUGGUAUCCCUUUUAGAAGACGAGAUAGGGUCCGUAAAAAAAAAAAAAAGAAAAAGAAAAAUUCCCAACCUGCCUUAUUUAUAAUGGGGCACGAUCACUGUUUUGUGCUUCAGCAUUCACUUGCGCAUUCAUGCAGAAAGCCUGUAGGCUUCCCAUUCCCAAAACGUCAGGUCAUCGACGACUUCGCUUCCGCAGGACUUGAUUUAGAAGUUGUUCAUUUUGGCUUCCGGUGUCGGCUGGCCUUUUGAAGCACUGACGGAGCCGGCAAGUGCAAGUAAAUGCUGGGGUCCACACCCAAACUCGCGAAGCUGGGUUAUAACAAGGUGCAUUAUAACGGGAUUCUAUUGCAUAGGGAGAACUUACCCAUAUAAGGGGGGAGGGGUCUAUUUUUAAGGAAAUUUAUUCACACAGCAGUCUUAGUCUGCUUAUAAAAAUGACCACUUACAGCUGACUUGACAAGUUAAUACAAGCUCUUCAUAGUUAUUCUGACCAUCAGUGUACGCUUUCUCUCUCUUUACAGUACAAUCGAGCGUGGCUGGGCUCUUUUGAAAUGUUCCUGAGUAUUUACCCCCAUGAUAGAUUCUGUGUAAGUAUGUAAAUGUGUGGCUGGAAAUUUGCUUCUAAAAUAUGAAUUCCUGCAAAUCGUUAGAUUUGAUUCAUCUAAUUCAAGUCUCAUUUUAUCAGUGUUUGGGGCCCUUCCUUGAAUUUAAAACAUUGCAUCCGUCUCUUAAGUCUAUCAUUCGUUUUAUAUGUUUGGAAAAGUUCCACCAAUCACAUAUUUUUGUUAUUAGACAAUAGCACAGCACCUGUUGGGAGUAGCUUUGACGUACAUUUUUUUUUCUUAGGAGAUAAAUGAGCAGUCAAUUUUUAUAAAAUGUACAUUUUACUGCCCGCAGGAAAGUUUUCCUUAAGUGCUUGAAUUUGUCAAAGAAUAAUUUUAGUGCAUUUUGUGUCCGUAAGGACAUCUUCGAUAUUUCUCAGGCAUUUUUGGUACGCACCUCAAAAUGUCCCAUCAAAUUUUAGUUGGUACUCAUGUACUUUUCAUGUUUUGAAACGCAGAGUGGCCAAGCUCCAUCUCAUCCUUAAAUGUGCGGUUGCAAUUCCAACUGGAUGAGUUUUAUUCCUUGAGUAUAACGUAACACUCGACAAGUUCCUGCUCGAAAUUGGAACAGGAUUGGAAUGAUUGUCAUCCUUAUUGGUGAAUAAAUGCAUCGUUUGGGCUGCGUGCAGGAACAAAUUUAUUUAUUUAUGUUUCUUUCACAGUGAAUGUUUUUUUUCCAAUUCACAGGUUGUGCAAAUUUCGUUCCAAAUAAAAUAAAAUUCUACCAGUUGGCUUGGGA